UCCUAUGCAAAAAUGCACACUAUACUUUGU
rnacentral:piRNA from 1 species